rnacentral:rRNA from 3 species
GGGGGAUUUGGCAUCUUUUUAUUUUUAAAAGACCUUUUUCGGAAGGUAUGCUUAAAGAGGGGCUUGCGUCACAUUAGUUAGUUGGCAGGGUAAAGGCCUACCAAGACUAUGAUGUGUAGCUGGACUGAGAGGUUGAACAGCCACAUUGGGACUGAGACACGGCCCAAACUCCUACGGGAGGCAGCAGUAGGGAAUUUUCGGCAAUGGAGGAAACUCUGACCGAGCAACGCCGCGUGAACGAUGAAGUAUUUCGGUAUGUAAAGUUCUUUUAUUGAAGAAGAAAAAAUAGUGGAAAAACUAUCUUGACGAUAUUCAAUGAAUAAGCCCCGGCAAACUAUGUGCCAGCAGCCGCGGUAAUACAUAGGGGGCGAGCGUUAUCCGGAAUUAUUGGGCGUAAAGGGUGCGUAGGCGGUUUAAUAAGUCUAUAGUUUAAUUUCAGUGCUUAACACUGUCCUGCUAUAGAAACUAUUAGACUAGAGUGAGAUAGAGGCAAGUGGAAUUCCAUGUGUAGCGGUAAAAUGCGUAAAUAUAUGGAGGAACACCAGAGGCGUAGGCGGCUUGCUGGGUCUUUACUGACGCUGAGGCACGAAAGCGUGGGGAGCAAACAGGAUUAGAUACCCUGGUAGUCCACGCCGUAAACGAUGAGUACUAAGUGUCGGGAUUACUCGGUACUGAAGUUAACACAUUAAGUACUCCGCCUGAGUAGUACGUACGCAAGUAUGAAACUUAAAGGAAUUGACGGGACUCCGCACAAGCGGUGGAUCAUGUUGUUUAAUUCGAAGAUACACGAAAAACCUUACCAGGUCUUGACAUACUCUGCAAAGCUAUAGCAAUAUAGUGGAGGUUAUCAGAGAUACAGGUGGUGCAUGGUUGUCGUCAGCUCGUGUCGUGAGAUGUUAGGUUAAGUCCUAAAACGAGCGCAACCCUUGUCAUUAGUUGCCAGCAUGUCAUGAUGGGCACUUUAAUGAGACUGCCAAUGAAAAAUUGGAGGAAGGUGAGGAUCACGUCAAAUCAUCAUGCCCCUUAUGAUCUGGGCUACAAACGUGAUACAAUGGCUGUUACAAAGAGUAGCUGAAACGCAAGUUUAUAGCCAAUCUCAUAAAAGCAGUCUCAGUUCGGAUUGAAGUCUGCAACUCGACUUCAUGAAGUUGGAAUCGCUAGUAAUCGCGAAUCAGCAUGUCGCGUAAUUUAAUUUU